rnacentral:rRNA from 1 species
AGGGAAUCUUCGGCAAUGGACGAAAGUCUGACCGAGCAACGCCGCGUGAGCGAAGAAGGCCUUCGGGUCGUAAAGCUCUGUUGUUAGAGAAGAACAUGGGUGAGAGUAACUAUUCACCCCUUGACGGUAUCUAACCAGAAAGCCACGGCUAACUACGUGCCAGCAGCCGCGGUAAUACGUAGGUGGCAAGCGUUGUCCGGAAUUACUGGGCGUAAAGCGCACGCAGGCGGUCUGUCAAGUCGGAUGUGAAAUCCCCGGGCUCAACCUGGGAACUGCAUUCGAAACUGGCAGGCUAGAGUCUUGUAGAGGGGGGUAGAAUUCCAGGUGUAGCGGUGAAAUGCGUAGAGAUCUGGAGGAAUACCGGUGGCGAAGGCGGCCCCCUGGACAAAUACUGACGCUGAGGUGCGAAAGCGUGGGGAGCAAACA